GCAGUCAACAUCUGGACAAGAACUAAAGGGACAAAAACACAGAUGGAUGAAAACACAGUGAAUAAUGAUGAAGAUGAAGAUGAUGGUGUGGUGAACUAUGAAAACGAUGGAGACCCUUCUGCCUCUGUCAGACUCCACUGAUCAACAACUUCCAUAUCAACAUCAGCUCAUCAGAGAAAAGACUCCACUGCAGUUAAAUAACAGCACAUUUACACGAGUAGUUGAAGCCUUUAGAGAACAAAAAUCUCAUAAGAUAAUUUUUAGAUUUUUAUUACUGAUUGUUUUUGUUUUCAUUUAUCAGUGUGAGAAAUGUUUGUGUGUUUUGUGCUCAGCUGUUUCUGUUUCAGUCUGACUUUGAACAACAAUAUUCAAGUCUUGAUUUCAUCUCAUAUCAGGAAGCCCACUGUGAGUUUUAUAAAAUGUCUUUUCCUGCAUCAGUUGUGAAAAUCUUUAUUUUCUGCAGCCAGUUCAGAACACAGCAGCUGGAUUUCAGCUUCAUUUAACAGGAACGAGCAUUU